rnacentral:rRNA from 1 species
UACAGAGGUCUCAAGCGUUGUUCGGAUUCAUUGGGCGUAAAGGGUGCGUAGGUGGUGGGGUAAGUCGGAUGUGAAAUCCCGGGGCUCAACCCCGGAACUGCAUUCGAUACUGCCUUGCUCGAGUACUGGAGAGGAGACUGGAAUUUACGGGUGUAGCGGUGAAAUGCGUAGAUAUCGUAAGGAAGACCAGUGGCGAAGGCGGGUCUCUGGACAGUUCCUGACGCUGAGGCACGAAGGUCAGGGGAGCAAACGGG